UGCCGCUGCCACUGGGAAAUGAGAACCGAGGCCUAAGGGACGCUGCGGUUUCCGUUUCUAAGGAAGGAGGUUAUUCUCAGUGGAUGAGCAUUACUGACAGGGAGGCUGACUGCAGCAACAGCUAAGGCCCUGAUGCUUGGUCCAGAAGCAAAAUUACUCCUGGGGUUUGACAAAAGGCUUGGGAGGGUUUGACAGGAGCCGCCUGCAGGAAAGGAAGAAACUAAGAACUCAGUGAAAAGUUAAGUCCUCAGUGAAGGAAGCAGAAAUUCAGGGGAAACUACAAAAAUAAGCCUGGGUUCCCAGAGAAGAGGUACAACUCGUAUGCCUUAAUCUCUCCGGGUAAUCAGAGGAAUACCCUGCUAACGUCCCUUUCUUCAACCUUAACAAAAAGAAGCAACAAAAUACUGACACCCCUCAAAAAUCUCUAUUUUUGUUUCAACUGAACGUACGUGUCGUUUUGGGCUACAACGUAAGCGCUUGGCUGGCGGAUAUUCAACUGGCAUGUCAUGGCAAUUCCAAUCUUGACAGCUCUUUCAAGGGGGAGGAUCAACUCCACGUCCUCCAUUCUAUCACCGCUUACCUGGGCUAGUGACUCAUAGAUCUGCUUAGGGCCUGUGACUCCCUAACAGGGCACCAAGAAUCCCUCGUGGGCUGGCGCUGACUUCUGGGGCCCUUCUACCCGGCAGAGGCCCCCCAGAAGCAGCUGACAGUUUGCUCUACAGAUUUAUUUUCCAAAAGGUACUCGGCUGCCACUGACACAGCUGCUCUGGGUUCUGACCUUUCACAAGAACCCUUAGGAGUUUUUCAAAGGAAGGGAGAAUUAAACGGCACACUUCAAACCUAUAUGAAUGAUGUGCUUGCAGCACUAAAGAGAAAAGGAAGGAAAGAACUCUCCAGAAGUGGCAUUUUUCCUUACACUUCAGCUUGUUUGCUAUUUCUAUUGAUUCUCGUGAACUGGCUGUCCCAGUCGCGCAUGUAGAUACCAACACAGAGAAGCCUGCCAACACGCUGAGCACUUCUUGUGUUGGAGUUCGCGGAAGCAAAUCUUUGCACAUAUAUAGAUGCAUACGCUUUAAAGGAGAUUCUAUGACUCGCGUUAGAAAAGGAAGCCGACCAUAAAAGCUUGACUAAGGGGAGAGAAGCCAGCAGUGUGUUCUUGGGUCACAGACUUAUCAUCCCUGUUGUUAGACGAAAAGAGCGAAGCCUGUCAUAGACCCAGAGGGAUGUGGUGGCAUCCUGGAGGGAUAUGAGGACCAUAAAUUUGUGUCCACAGGAUGCCUUAUCCAAUAAUCUCUAAAUACUAGUUAUUAAAAUGGAACUAUGCCCACCUGACAUUCUGAUUUAUAGGUCUCUUUUACACAUUGAUGGUUUUCUCCAAUUUGUGUUUCUGAGGUAUAGAUUGCCAAGUGGAUAAAGCCAUUGAUUAGAACUGCACCCCUAAGGCAGCUGUCGGUAGAAUCAGCAAGUCAUAAGAAUAAAAUGCAUUAGUUAUAAUCCCUGAGCAGUCUUUCACAUUGUGGAGGAUUUAAAAGUUUCAUUAUUUUUCAGUGUUAUCAAGGGUUCAAUUCUUUUUUAAGAUCACACCGGUUAGGUAUUCUUUGCUACCCACAAAAAAAAAAAAAAAAAAAAAAAAAAGCAAAAAAACACAAAACAAAACAAA